rnacentral:sRNA from 1 species
GCUGGGCAUGAUGGCAGAUGUCUGUAGUUCCAGCUACUAGAAGGCUGAAGUAGGAGGACAGCAUGAGCCCAGGAAUUCAAGGCCAGCCUGGGUAACAGAGCAGGACCCUGUUUCUA